AUGCUUGCUCUGCAGCCCACAUACUAAAAUUGGAACAAUACAGAGAAGAUUAGCAAGACCCCUGCGCAAGGAUUACACGCAAAUUUGUGAAGCAUUGAAGAAAAAA
ensembl:snRNA U6 U6 spliceosomal RNA